rnacentral:tRNA from 1 species
GGGCGGUUAGCUCAGCUGGUUCAGAGCACAUGCCUUACAAGCAUGGGGUCACUGGUUCGAAUCCAGUACCGCCCA